UACGAAGGGGGCUAGCGUUGCUCGGAAUUACUGGGCGUAAAGGGCGCGUAGGCGGACAGUUUAGUCAGAGGUGAAAGCCCAGGGCUCAACCUUGGAAUUGCCUUUGAUACUGGCUGUCUUGAGUUCGGGAGAGGUGGAGUGGAAUGCCGAGUGUAGAGGUGAAAUUCGUAGAUAUUCGGCGGAACACCAGUGGCGAAGGCGAACUCA
rnacentral:rRNA from 1 species